CGUACACUUUAUUAUCGUUCCCUGUUGCUGGUGUUCACACUGAACGAAGCGAAGCGGAGCUUUUCUCUUGGUCUCGGCUGCAAAGAUACCACAAAACUUCCGCCAAUUAAAAGCGGUAAAAAUAUUUGCUAAAUUUUAUUCAAAAGAUCAGUUUUUAUUUGAA